ACAUACAUUUGGAUUUUGCACAAAUACAAUAUACCCUUAUACCCAUUUUUAAUGGGUUCAGAGUAUAAAAGCCUGAAGAAACUGUCGAGCGUGUGCGCCAUAAUUUUAUUUUCAUUCUUCCUGGAAGCAACAUUAUGACAUUUUUGUACUUUAUUUGGAGUAAGUUGACAUCAACCAAGAGCAUUCCGAAAACAUCCGACGAAGCCCAGCAGCUGGAGGAACAGAUUACACCGAAGGUUUAGUAAGGUUUAGGACGCAGAUCUUGAAGGAGACAGGAGUUAACACCAUACAUUACCCUUGCCCCUCACAACAACCAUAAGUGCCAACGGCACACAUUGAUCGCUGCCUAUAAGCUCUGUUCAAGUCGCCACUUCUCUUCGCUACAACAACGACCGCUGCUCAUGAACUCUCUUCAAGUGCCUCCUCAUAAACCAUUCUGCACGUCAAGCGUUUUGGGCGCAGCAGCAAUGUUGUCACCCGACACUGCCACGUCAACAUAUUAAACGCAACGACGACGUUGCGCUAGCUAAGCACUGGCCGUUGCCGGGUGUUUCGCUAUAUCCGCUGCAAUUAUGCUGACAUUCGAGCUGUGCAUAAAAACAUACAACUGAGAAUCGACAUCCACUUAUUUCAUUACCCAAGCAAUUCUUAGGCUUCCACAGGAGAAUGUUUCAUCAUUACUUGUUGAGGUAGUCCUUGAGACUGCCGUAAUUUAUAUAUGCGCAUAAGACUCUCUCGCUCUCUUAUACUGAUAAUACAUAUGCAUAUAUGCAGCCGCUACGCUGCUGGCGUAACCGGCAGCGCAGCUACGCGGUCUUAGCAUUAAGCACUUAUGUAUAUAGGCUAAGUGUACUUAUAGAUAUAUUCAAUAAAGCAUUCUAAAAACCAAACUCAAACGGCGUAGACGUGCCAGAUUUAUUUACUCGUCCCUCGAGUGUACAUGGCGACCGUGACAGGACUUCCGGAGGACCUUGGAAAAUCAACAACUAUAACAACAUAGGCGGCAGCAACAACAAAUGCGCCAACGGUAGCAACUUGGAUCUGAACAAUCGAGGGUGCAGCGGCGACCAAAAGAAUUCUGAAAGCUGCCUAAACUAAAGAAGAGAUGCCCCAACGAGUGGGAACAAGUGCGUAUCCAGCACCGGUGCCACUGCAGACAUCGAAGAAAUAGCAGCCUGUGCAGCCAGCACCGGCCCCGUCUAGCGCACCAAGCUAGACCUGGAGUAGUAAGCCGACAGCGCUACUGAGAGCGCCCACCAAACAACAUAAGUUUUUUUAAAUGCACUGCGAUGCAUAACACUCAAAAUUAAUAUAAAUCUCGUAAAAUUAAGCUCAAACAUUUCUACCCGAUUGUAGUGCGGCCCGUAAAGCCACGCAAAUGCUAGGCAGGAAAACAUGUAAACAAUUUUUUUUACAAUUCCAAACCAUUUAAUUUAAAUGGCAUAUCAAUAUGAAAAAAUCAGCUACUUAGUAAAAAAAUUAAUUAACAAUAUUAAUUAACAAAUAUAUAUGUCUAUAGAAACAAAUGAAAUAAGUAAAUUGGUGGAAAUUUUGCCAAAAAAAGGCAUUGUAGACGUAAAAAGUCGAAGUCGAAGACCCCGAUCCAUAACUAAUAACAAUACUUAUUGUUAUAAUUUUUAUCAUAAUACUAGCACAUCUAUUAUACAAAUUGUAUAAGUACCAUAAUAAAUGUAUUAAGAAGCGAUAUCAAAGCCAAGCAAACGACCUGGAUAAAAUUAAAAAAAAA